UGGAUGGUCUUAUUGGUACUAUAGUAUUACCAGUCUAAUCUAUUGGAUGGUCUUAUAGGUACUAUAGUAUUGCCAGUCUAAUCUAUUGGAUGGUCUUAUAGGUACUAUAGUAUUGCCAGCCUAAUCUAUUGGAUGGUCUUAUAGGUACUAUAGUAUUGCCAGUCUAAUCUAUUGGAUGGUCUUAUAGGUACUAUAGUAUUGCCAGUCUAAUCUAUUGGAUGGUCUUACAGGUACUAUAGUAUUGCCAGUCUAAUCUAUUGGAUGGUCUUAUAGGUACUAUAGUAUUGCCAGUCUAAUCUAUUGGAUGGUCUUAUAGGUACUAUAGUAUUGCCAGUCUAAUCUAUUGGAUGGUCUUAUAGGUACUAUAGUAUUGCCAGUCUAAUCUAUUGGAUGGUCUUAUAGGUACUAUAGUAUUGCCAGUCUAAUCUAUUGGAUGGUCUUACAGGUACUAUAGUAUUGCCAGUCUAAUCUAUUGGAUGGUCUUAUAGGUACUAUAGUAUUGCCAGUCUAAUCUAUUGGAUGGUCUUAUAGGUACUAUAGUAUUGCCAGUCUAAUCUAUUGGAUGGUCUUAUAGGUACUAUAGUAUUGCCAGUCUAAUCUAUUGGAUGGUCUUAUAGGUACUAUAGUAUUGCCAGUCUAAUCUAUUGGAUGGUCUUAUUGGUACUAUAGUAUUGCCAGUCUAAUCUAUUGGAUGGUCUUAUAGGUACUAUAGUAUUGCCAGUCUAAUCUAUUGGAUGGUCUUAUAGGUACUAUAGUAUUGCCAGUCUAAUCUAUUGGAUGGUCUUAUAGGUACUAUAGUAUUGCCAGUCUAAUCUAUUGGAUGGUCUUAUAGGCACUAUAGUAUUGGAU